rnacentral:lncRNA from 1 species
CCCAGACCCCCGUUGGAGACUUGCUUUAAUGGUCUAAACAAGCCCUGUCAGUUCCCUCUGUGUCUUCUUGUUUUAUAAUGUCCUCCUCAUCCUAACUCCAAUUUAAAUCCUAUCAGCAAUCAAGUCUCAGCUCAAACCAUGCUUCUGAGACAGCCUUGAUCUGACUACUCCCAUCAGGGAUAUCAGAGCUUCUGUAGCAGAUACAGAUGCAUCUUCAAACCCAGACUCAGCCACCCACCAGCAGAAGCUUACUGAGCCUGAAUUCCCAAAAAUGUACUUCUUAAUCUAUAGAGCACUGAGUCACAAUACAUGGCAAAGCAGAUGCCUGCUGGGGGCAAAGGCACAAAAAAGGUUUGGAAGAC